UACGUAGGGUGCGAGCGUUAAUCGGAAUUACUGGGCGUAAAGCGUGCGCAGGCGGUGAUGUAAGACCGUUGUGAAAUCCCCGGGCUCAACCUGGGAACUGCAUCUGUGACUGCAUCGCUGGAGUGCGGCAGAGGGGGAUGGAAUUCCGCGUGUAGCAGUGAAAUGCGUAGAUAUGCGGAGGAACACCGAUGGCGAAGGCAAUCCCCUGGGCCUGCACUGACGCUCAUGCACGAAAGCGCGGGGAGCAAACAGG
rnacentral:rRNA from 1 species